CUCGCUCCCGUGAGGCGGCUCGCUUGCCGGCGAUCUCCGACGGACGGCUCGCUAGGAGAAAUGAGAAAAUGGAACCGAGGGAGCUUGUGAAAGAGGAGAUCCUUGAGACAAAGCGCAGUGCCAGCCAGAAGCUCAGCCUCGGAUACCUGCACGUGGCCGUCAGACAGAAGAUGGGCAUGAAGACGAGAGCAGAGACAGACCCUACAUUGCACCAAGGCCACGUCAGCUAUGCAGGAGACAGUGGACCUGCAAAUGCAACAAGAAACAGGAAGCUCUUCUUUAACGUCCAUUGUUGCCUUCGUCCUCCCAGCGGCUUCUCCUGCAAGAAGAUGUGGAUGAAGAUCAAGUGAGCACCAGGCUGCCGCCAUAUGUGCAGGAACACCUGCAGAAUAAAAAGUCCUGUUCAC
rnacentral:lncRNA from 7 species